rnacentral:rRNA from 1 species
CCUACGGGAGGCAGCAGUGGGGGAUAUUGCACAAUGGGGGAAACCCUGAUGCAGCGACGCCGCGUGGGCGAAGAAGUAUUUCGGUAUGUAAAGCCCUAUCAGCAGGGAAGAAGAAAUGACGGUACCUGCGUAAGAAGCACCGGCUAAAUACGUGCCAGCAGCCGCGGUAAUACGUAUGGUGCAAGCGUUAUCCGGAUUUACAGGGUGUAAAGGGAGUGCAGGCGGGACGGCAAGCCCGAGGUGAAAGCCCGCGGCCCAACCGCGGGACUGCAUUGGGAACUACCGGGCUGGGGGGCCGGAGGAGGAAGCGGAAUUGCUUGUGUAACGGUGAAAUGCGUAGGUAUAAGGGAGGACACCAGUGGCGGAAGCGGAUGACUGGACGGCAACUGGCGGUGGGGCGCGGAAGCGUGGGGAACAAACAGGAUUAGAUACCCCUGGUAGUC